rnacentral:misc_RNA from 1 species
UACACACCAAAAUAAAUUAUGGGUGCCGUUUACAGUGUAGUUAAGGCACUGUGAACUGAAUUGGAUUGGUAAGUGAAGAAAUAUGCUUGGAUUGAACAUUUGAAGGGUUUCAUAGGCAUCACAGCUUGGAUGAAUUGCAUCACGCAAUCCAAGAAUAACCGUUGCAGGUUUUGGACUUCUAUAAUUAACCCCAUUCUUGUGAAGAUUUGGACUCUGAGUAAAGAAAACUAAAGGGAUUAAUGAUAUUUGCCAAGGCUGAGUAAGUCUUGGAAUUUAAUUUCAAGAUGAUGACUUUGUUGUCAUGUUCACUUUCAUGAUGUAGGAGUUUUAUUUAGAUCAUGCAGAGAAGGUUUGGCUGUUGAUUUUGUUGUACUUUUAGCUUGAUGCUAUUUUUGGAUAAUGUAUUUGUCUGGAUCUUUUGACAGAUAUGAAUUCAGCUAUAAUCAC